GUGACCAUAAUUUGACCAAAAACCUUGGGUCGUGACCCCAAGAACGAGAAAUUUCCUCUCUGGCCACC
rnacentral:tRNA from 1 species